rnacentral:rRNA from 1 species
UGCAGUCGAGGGGUAUAAGUCUUCGGAUUUAGAGACCGGCGCACGGGUGCGUAACGCGUAUGCAAUCUACCUUUCACAGAGGGAUAGCCCAGAGAAAUUUGGAUUAAUACCUCAUAGUAUACUGAGUUGGCAUCAACAUAGUAUUAAAGUCACAACGGUGAAAGAUGAGCAUGCGUCCCAUUAGCUAGUUGGUAAGGUAACGGCUUACCAAGGCUACGAUGGGUAGGGGUCCUGAGAGGGAGAUCCCCCACACUGGUACUGAGACACGGACCAGACUCCUACGGGAGGCAGCAGUGAGGAAUAUUGGACAAUGGGCGCAAGCCUGAUCCAGCCAUGCCGCGUGCAGGAUGACGGUCCUAUGGAUUGUAAACUGCUUUUGCACAGGAAGAAACACUGAUUCGUGAAUCAGCUUGACGGUACUGUGAGAAUAAGGAUCGGCUAACUCCGUGCCAGCAGCCGCGGUAAUACGGAGGAUCCAAGCGUUAUCCGGAAUCAUUGGGUUUAAAGGGUCCGUAGGCGGUCUAGUAAGUCAGUGGUGAAAGCCCAUCGCUCAACGGUGGAACGGCCAUUGAUACUGCUGGACUUGAAUUACUGGGAAGUAACUAGAAUAUGUAGUGUAGCGGUGAAAUGCUUAGAGAUUACAUGGAAUACCAAUUUGCGAAAGGCAGGUUACUACCAGUGGAUUGACGCUGAUGGACGAAAGCGUGGGU